rnacentral:rRNA from 1 species
AGGGCGAACGCUGGCGGCAUGCUUAACACAUGCAAGUGGAGCGACGAACCAGGGCUUGCCCUGGGGCAGAGCCGCGAACGGGUGAGUAACACGUGGGUUACCUGCCUCGAUGACCGGGACAACCCGAGGAAACUCGGGCUAAUACCGGAUGUGCCCGCAAGGGGAAAGGAAGCUUCGGCCUCCGCAUCGAGAUGGGCCCGCGGCCCAUUAGCUUGUUGGUGAGGUAACGGCUCACCAAGGCUUCGAUGGGUAGCUGGUCUGAGAGGACGAUCAGCCACACUGGGACUGAGACACGGCCCAGACUCCUACGGGAGGCAGCAGUGGGGAAUAUUGGACAAUGGGCGAAAGCCUGAUCCAGCCAUGCCGCGUGAGUGAUGAAGGCCUUAGGGUUGUAAAGCUCUUUCAGUGGGGAAGAUAAUGACGGUACCACAGAAGAAGCCCGGCUAACUUCGUGCCAGCAGCCGC